rnacentral:tRNA from 1 species
AAAAAAUUAAAGUUGCCUUCUAAGCUUCUUCAGGUUGAUUAAAAUCACCAUUUUUUA